UACAGGUGCUUCCAUCGGUGAGGUAAGCGGUCUCCAAAACCGUGGCAGAUAUGUCUUGUGGGUUCGAAUCCUACCACCUGUGU
rnacentral:tRNA from 1 species